rnacentral:rRNA from 1 species
CCAGUCACGAUACGUCUAUACCUAGGCACACAGAGGCGAAGAAGGACGUGGUUACCGACGAAAAGCAUCGGGGAGUUGGCAGCAAGCAGUGAUCCGAUGGUAUCCGAAUGGGGGAACCCAAAUACUAUUAUCUAAAUACAUAGGGUAAUAGGGCGAACGCAGCGAACUGAAACAUCUUAGUAGCUGUAGGAAGAGAAAACAAACGUGAUUUCCGGAGUAGCGGCGAGCGAAAGGGAAAGAGCCUAAACCAAGAUGCAAGCAUUUUGGGGUAGAGGGACGUCAAUAAGUAGAAGUAGAACCAGACGAAGCAGUUGAAAGCUGCACCAGAGGGGGUGAGAGUCCUGUAGUCGAAGGGGAAGCGGAAGCGGACGAAUCCCGAGUAGGUUGGGGCAGGUGAAAUCCCGACUGAAUCAGCGAGGACCACCUCGUAAGGCUAAAUACUCCUGUGUGACCGAUAGAGAAACAGUACCGCGAGGGAAAGGUGAAAAGAACCCCGAGAGGGGAGUGAAAUAGAACAUGAAACCAUCAGCUUACAAGCAAUGGGAGGUCGAUUAUAACGACUGACCGUGUGCCUGUUGAAGAAUGAGCCGGCGACUUAUAGGCACUGGCGGGUUAAGACGGGAAUGUCGAAGCCAAAGCGAAAGCGAGUCUGAAUAGGGCGAAUUAGUCAGUGAGUAUAGGCCCGAACCCGGGUGAUCUAACCAUGGGCAGGAUGAAGCUUGGGUAACACCAAGUGGAGGUCCGAACCGACCGAUGUUGAAAAAUCGGCGGAUGACCUGUGGUUAGGGGUGAAAUGCCAAUCGAACCCGGAGCUAGCUGGUUCUCCCCGAAAUGUGUUGAGGCGCAGCGGUAGUGGAUGUAUAUGGGGGGUAAAGCACUGUUUCGGUGCGGGCUGCGAGAGCGGUACCAAAUCGAGGCAAACUCAGAAUACCCAUAUAAAAACUACUAGUGAGACAGUGGGGGAUAAGCUCCAUUGUCAAGAGGGAAACAGCCCAGACCACCAGCUAAGGUCCCCAAAUCAGGAUUAAGUGAUAAAGGAGGUGGGAGUGCAAAGACAACCAGGAGGUUUGCCUAGAAGCAGCCAUCCUUAAAAGAGUGCGUAAUAGCUCACUGGUCAAGCGCUCCUGCGCCGAAAAUGAAUGGGGCUAAAUUCUGUACCGAAGCUGUGGGAUUAGAAAUAAUCGGUAGGGGAGCGUUCCGUUGUAGAGAGAAGUACUAGCGGUAAGCAGGUAUGGACGAAACGGAAGUGAGAAUGUCGGCUUGAGUAGCGCAAACAUUGGUGGGAAUCCAAUGCCCCGAAAUUCCAAGGGUUCCUCCGCAAGGCUCGUCCACGGAGGGUUAGUCGGGACCUAAGGCGAGGCUGAAAAGCGUAGUCGAUGGACAACAGGUUUAUAAUCCUGUACUGAUUAAAGAUAGUGAAGAGGGACGGAGAAGGCUAACACAGCCGGAUAAUGGAUACCGGUGUAAGUAUCCGAGGUGAAGAGGGAUGGAGAGAACAUCCUGAGCUGAGGUAUGAGUCGGAGGAUUUACGAAUCCGAAGUGUGUGAUGUCAGGCUUCCAAGAAAAGCUCUAACCACGAUAAUUUUUAAUUACCCGUACUCUAAACCGACACAGGUGGAAAGGUAGAGAAUACCAAGGGGCGCGAGAUAACUCUCUCUAAGGAACUCGGCAAAAUGACCCCGUAACUUCGGGAGAAGGGGUGCCUGCGAGAGCAGGUUGCAGUGAAGAGGCCCAGGCGACUGUUUACCAAAAACACAGGUCUCCGCAAAGUCGUAAGACGAAGUAUGGGGGCUGACGCCUGCCCAGUGCCGGAAGGUUAAGGAAGUUGGUCAGCGGUAACGUGCAGCUAGCGACCGAAGCCCCGGUGAACGGCGGCCGUAACUAUAACGGUCCUAAGGUAGCGAAAUUCCUUGUCGGGUAAGUUCCGACCCGCACGAAAGGCGUAACGAUCUGGAUGGUGUCUCAGAGAGAGACUCGGCGAAAUAGGAAUGUCUGUGAAGAUACGGACUACCUGCACCUGGACAGAAAGACCCUAUGAAGCUUUACUGUAGCCUGGAAUUGGGUUCGGGCUUUGCUUGCGCAGGAUAGGUGGGAGACAAAGAAUACAUUCUUGUGGGAAUGUAGGAGUCGACGGUGAGAUACCACUCUGGUGAGGCUAGAAUUCUAACUUUAUCCCGUUAUCCGGGAAAAGAACAGUUUCAGGUGGGCAGUUUGACUGGGGCGGUCGCCUCCUAAAAGGUAACGGAGGCGCGCAAAGGUUCUCUCAGGCUGGUUGGAAAUCAGCCGUAGAGUGUAAAGGCAAAAGAGAGCUUGACUGCAAGACUUACAAGUCGAGCAGGGACGAAAGUCGGCCUUAGUGAUCCGACGGCACUGAGUGGAAGGGCCGUCGCUCAACGGAUAAAAGUUACUCUAGGGAUAACAGGCUGAUCUCCCCCAAGAGUUCACAUCGACGGGGAGGUUUGGCACCUCGAUGUCGGCUCAUCGCAACCUGGUGCGGAAGUACGUGCCAAGGGUUGGGCUGUUCGCCCAUUAAAGCGGUACGUGAGCUGGGUUCAGAACGUCGUGAGACAGUUCGGUCCAUAUCCGGUGCAGGCGUUGGAACAUUGAAAGGAGUCCUCCUUAGUACGAGAGGACCGGGAGGAACGCACCGCUGGUGUACCUGUUAUCGUGCCAACGGUAAACGCAGGGUAGCUACGUGCGGAGUGGAUAACCGCUCUGUAUCGUGACUGGGAAAC